AUUGAACGCUGGCGGCAGGCCUAACACAUGCAAGUCGAACGGUAACAGGAAACAGCUUGCUGUUUCGCUGACGAGUGGCGGACGGGUGAGUAAUGUCUGGGAAACUGCCUGAUGGAGGGGGAUAACUACUGGAAACGGUAGCUAAUACCGCAUAACGUCGCAAGACCAAAGAGGGGGACCUUCGAGCCUCUUGCCAUCGGAUGUGCCCAGAUGGGAUUAGCUAGUAGGUGGGGUAACGGCUCACCUGGGCGACGAUCCCUAGCUGGUCUGAGAGGAUGACCAGCCACACUGGAACUGAGACACGGUCCAGACUCCUACGGGAGGCAGCAGUGGGGAAUAUUGCACAAUGGGCGCAAGCCUGAUGCAGCCAUGCCGCGUGUAUGAAGAAGGCCUUCGGGUUGUAAAGUACUUUCAGCGGGGAGGAAGGGAGUAAAGUUAAUACCUUUACUCAUUGACGUUACCCGCAGAAGAAGCACCGGCUAACUCCGUG
rnacentral:rRNA from 1 species